UCUGCCUGCUUUCCUUCAGUUCUGUUAAGGAGACUUCAAUUUGUUAGAAUUAUGCACAUUAGGUGAGCUAGUGUAAAUUCUAGUGUCUCUUACUGUUAUUACGUUAAAAACUAGAACAUCCGGACAUGAGUGCUUUGCUAAAUCUUUGUUUUACCGAGUUGGGGGACCCUCCCCCCACUCCCAGAGCCCCAACAGCAGUUUCAGGGGCAGCCCAGGAUUCUCCCCAGAUUGGCUCAGCUUACUGCCUCACGGGAGUCCACACCCUCUCCUGAAUGCCCAGUCAGACUGACCCUUUGAUCUGGUUUUCUUCAUGCCCCCCCCAUCCCCCGCCUGCCUUGUCCCUGGGCCGGCCUGUCGGCCGUGACACAGUGCUAACACCCUGGUGCUGGAGGCCACAGUGAGCAUUGCUCACUCGCAGCAGGCGGAUGAAAAGGCAGUGCAGAUGUAAUUUGUUUUCAAUGGCUGUUUCAAAAGAAUAAUUGUGGUGACAUUGCGGGAUCAAUAUUAUAGAUUUUUGUUUUCAAGUACACUGUAUGUGUGGUGCUAAGGGGAGGCAGGAAAUACAGCAUUGCAGCCUGAAUACAAUAAAAAUGGAUUGAGGUCUGCGGGUAUUUGUCGGCUGCUAGCCAUCACAGGCUUGGAGCAUCAUUGGUGGGAUUACUGCGUUUGUCCUUUGGAGUGGUAUUUCACGGGGAAUGUGCGUAUUUCCUGUCCUUUUCAUCCUUGGCUUCCUGGGGAGGAGAACCUGUUUCCUAAAUCUGGGUAAAGUAAAUUGGAGAUGAGACUCCCUAGCUGGGAGGUGGCUUUGCUUGCUGACAAGUGGAAGUGGCCAGGGGAGGUACAGUACCUGUGCUGGACCUGAGAUGCUGUUUGUGCUGGAGCAGAGAUGCAAGACCUACUGCAGGAGCUGGACAUUUUUCAUAGAAUCCCAUACUUCCUAAUUCAGGUUGGGUUUUGAGGAUUUCAACAGACAUUUAUUUCUCCUGCUCUUCUUGUGGGGAUUUGGUUUGAUAUUUUGAGAUAGGGUCUCCCUAUGCAGUCUAGUGUGACAUCACACUUGUGGUCCUCCUGCCUCAGCCUCCUGUGUUCUGGGAUGACAGGUGUGUGCUACCAAGGACUUUGGAAAGACAGCUUCUCUCUCUCUGUACAUGUUUAUGCAUUUCAGAGGACAGACACAGACCUCUGUGAUCAUGGGAGUGAGCCUCUAGCGUCCCCAGGCCAUGCCCUGGGCUUCAGAGAGCGGCCCUGCUUGUUCUUUAGAGCAGCAUUCUGCUUGGGAAGCUAGUGUGAACCCUGAAACUGUUGCUUUAAAAAUCCUAGGAGGUGAUUGAAGUCUCUGGAAUUAAGGUGGGUUUUCUGAGUUGGGGUAACUAGACAAAAUGUGUAGAUCCCAGGGUGAAAAUUAUAUGAACAAAGAAUUCGUAAUAAAGCUGAAUAAAUGUAAUGAGAUGUGAAGGAGAGCAUGGUGUGCGCUCUCGUCCCUGUCUUUUGCAAUUAGCCCUUGAAGGAAAUGGAAAUCCCAGCAAAACACCUUUCACUUGCCUUCAGAUUGUAAAGGCAAAUGAGGUGCUUGGGGAUGAGAGCAUGGCUGGGUGCACAGCAGGUUUCAGAGGGACAUUCAGAAACUGAGAGCUGAACAUUUGGCCCUACAAAUUCAUGUGGCAGAUUGAGAAACUGAGGCACAGUCAUUCCUAGGGCCCUGUCCUGUCCCUGAGUGAGUUUGAAGAGACUGUAUUUGAUUCACAAUGCAGAGCUCCCUACAGUCCUUAAACUUGGCUCUGGUUUGAAUGCACCAUGUCCUUGGGUUUAACUACCUGCAAACCUGCAAACAGAGAGUAUUUGGGGAAAGAAAUUAAAUCUUAACCAAACAUGGAUGAGUUAUUCUUUUAUCUUCCGUUUUCCGAACUGUAUAGUGUAAAACCACCUUUACAAUGUUUGUAUUGCAAUAGGAAUUAUAAGCAAUCCAGGAUGACUAAAAAUGCUCAGGAUUUAAGAUGAGAGCUCCAUGCCAUUUUAGACAAGAGAUUCAGGCAUUCUUCUAUGGAGUUGCUGCCUGUGGAGGGUUCUAGAACAAGACACCAAUGGCUAACUGUGAUUUGCAAGUCAUGAUAUCUUAUCUUGUUUAUCGUUUUUAUUUUUAAAUUUUUUAUGUGUAUGAGCAUUUGCCUGCAUGUAAAUAUGUGAGCCACAUGCAUGCAACAUCCAUGGAGGCCAGAAGAGGAUGCUGGAUGCCCUGCAACUGGAAGAAUGGAUGAUUAUGAGUUGACAGACUGCAGCAUGUUCUUGUCACUCAACACAUGAAGUGGAACAACAUUCUAAGUGAGGACCUGCUACCUCCAGAACCUGCAAGGGCGACUCUGACUAUGAGGACCAGUUGCCUCCAGCACCCACAGGGAAGACUCUGACCAAAAGCUUCCUCUGCAUUUGUCAGAAAGGAGACACCAUCACAUGCCCUUUGGAUUGGGAUACCCUGGUGUGUCUUUGACUUUGGACCCUUAAACAUCAUUUAUUUGGUUUAUCUCUGAGUAUCUUGAGGGCUUAUUUUAUGUUCAGGAGGGUUUGAAUCUCUUCAAGUUUGUCCAUGCUCAUCCUUCACAGUCUGUUGUAGUUUUGUUUAGUCUGGUGACUCAAUAGAACAUGAUAGAUUCCUACAUUUUCCAUUGUUACAUAGAUACGGUCUUGGAUGGCUGCAGGAGCAGAGAUCAGAGACCUUCAUGUCACCUUCUGUACUGUGAGAGUUUUCACCCAAGUCUCUAAUUUUGAAAGUUACCAAGUUUCAUGUACAUCCAUCCUACUGAUAUUAUUUGUGAUCUUGGAAAGGAUUACUCAAUGAGUCUUGUGAAAGGAGUAUCUGAGACAAGAGUCUACAUUAUACCCCCGGCCUCCAGCUACACAUGUGCCACUUGUUUCUCUAGAAAACAGGAAAGGGGGAAUGUUGAGAAGAAAUUUGGGAACAAAAAAGGAUGAGUUGUUCUUGGCUCCAGAUCUGCAAAGGCUGUAGAAAGUUUGAUGAAGUAGCCUAGGUUUUCACAAUGCAUGGGACACACAGAUGAUCCUAAAUAGUAUAAACAUGUUAUAUUUAUUAAUUUACAUACAGUACAUUAAACUAUAUGGAAACUAUUCUUUUACCAAGUCAAUAUGUUUGAAUAUUUGUUAGGGUUAAAAAAUGGAUAGAUUGAAGCCUUUUGGGGUCAGAGUUAGAAUAAAAGUAAUUCCUCAUACACAUACAGCUUAAAAUUCGGCUGCCUUUUGCAUGGUCUCCCUCAGAUUCUGAGGCUGGCAUGGGUCCUAUAUCCUGACUCAAGAAUUGUGGGGAGCUCUCUGCAGAGUAAUGGCUGAGUUUUCCCCUGGUAGCUCUCCAGCCUCAUUCUCACUUUGGAUAUGACAUGACCUCCAUCUUUGGGGUUCUCACCAAUAUGUAUAACUGCAUGAGCUGCGGAAUGAGGGAAUCACCUAAAUCUUCCCAGUCUCUAGAGAAAUAAAAUACACAGUGUGACUUCA